CAGUUAUAUUCAUUAUUUCCUGGUUGAAUUCAACUAAACUGAACUUGUUAUGGUAGUUUGAGAAUUUGCUGUCAGCAACCACAAAAGAAACCAUUUUUUAAAAGUAGAGCACUGGCUUUGUCAUUGUGUUGGGACACUUUCAGAGUAAGUCCCGAAGACACUUCAUGAUCUAGAGAAAUACUGACUGAAAUGCCAACGCACUCAAUUGUGAUUCUUUGCUUUCUCUGUCAAAGAGAACUUCAACUGUAUUUGGGACUGAAGACAAUAAUACAACACAAGAGAGAGAGAGAGAAAAGGUUUGCUACUACUCUUUGCUAGGUUCUUCAGAGGAAUCACCUACUUCACACGUGUAACUAGCUCAAGUGGAGGGAAAAGUGAGGAAGCCAGAAGGGGGAAGCGCAGGUUUCCCAGGGCAGCCUCGUGGCAUUUCUCUGUGAAUAGGUAAAAAGGAGAUGAGAGUAAUUCAAGCUAAGGGAGCAAACAGCAGGGACAGAGCGUCCCUCCCUCCCUGUCUGUAGAAAUCAGCAGAUAGCACACCUGCUGCUGCUCAAGCUCCCUCUGCCAAGCAGAGCAGCACAGCUGCAAGACACUGCUUCUGGCCGGCUGCUCUGAGCUCUGCCUGUCUUCUGGGAUGGAGCCCCGCCCAAGGCAAGUUCAACUGGGUUCUUUGGCAGCUGAAGUCUACACGGACCCAGCAGGGAGCGGCGGAGAAAAAGGUUUGGAUCCAGGGAAUCUUCAGAGAAGUACAAAAGGCUCCUGCCAAGGCACCAAUUUAACAAUUUGAUUCUGGAAGCCACCUGCAUUCCUUGGUUUGUAUCCCUGUCCCCCAUCCUCAAAGCCAGCAAAGGAGUGAAAAUAUGUUUUGGAUGAACCAUUCACAUAUUUCAACCUGGUGCUCCUUGUGGCUGUUCCAAGAGACCAAAGACACAUUUUUGAGGGCGAUGUUACUGGUCACAUGUAGAGUAGGAGGCCAAGUGGACAUAUCUUUGAAUGGAGUUUAUGCUAGAAAGUCAUUAUUAGAUUGUUUGCUUCUGAUAUGAAGGGUUCUUAAUGAGUGGUUUGCAAAAUUGAUUCUAGUUAUUUUUCAGUCAGUUUAAAAUCAGUAACAAAGAU
rnacentral:lncRNA from 1 species